UGGCAGCACGGGAGCAACCCUGGGUGGUCAGUGGCGAACGGGUGAGUAAUAUAUCGGAACGUGCCCAGUCGUCGGGGGAUAACGCAGCGAAAGCUGUGCUAAUACCGCAUACGAUCUACGGAUGAAAGCGGGGGAUCGCAAGACCUCGCGCGAUUGGAGCGGCCGAUAUCAGAUUAGCUAGUUGGUGGGGUAAAGGCCCACCAAGGCGACGAUCUGUAGCUGGUCUGAGAGGACGACCAGCCACACUGGAACUGAGACACGGUCCAGACUCCUACGGGAGGCAGCAGUGGGGAAUUUUGGACAAUGGGCGCAAGCCUGAUCCAGCAAUGCCGCGUGCAGGAUGAAGGCCUUCGGGUUGUAAACUGCUUUUGUACGGAACGAAACGGUGAGCUCUAAUAAAGUUUGCUAAUGACGGUACCGUAAGAAUAAGCACCGGCUAACUACGUGCCAGCAGCCGCGGUAAUACGUAGGGUGCGAGCGUUAAUCGGAAUUACUGGGCGUAAAGCGUGCGCAGGCGGUUAUGUAAGACAGAUGUGAAAUCCCCGGGCUCACCUGGGACCUGCAUUUGUGACUGCAUAGCUAGACGUACGGUAGGAGGGGGAUGGCAAUUCCCGCGUGUUAGCAGUGAAACUGCGUAGCAUUAUGGCGGAAGGAACACACCGAUUGGCGAAAGGGCAAUUCCCCCCUGGCACCUUGUUACUGGACGCUCCUUCACACGAAAGCGUUGAGGAGCCAAACGGAUUUAGAUACCCUCGUCAUUCCAACGCGCCUUAAGGAUGUUCACGGGUUGUGGGUCCUUCACGGACUCCAAACGAAAUAACGCAGUAAUUAACGGCCUG
rnacentral:rRNA from 1 species